UUUGGUUAAGUUAGAAAGGGCGCACGGUGGAUGCCUUGACACUAGGAGUCGAUGAAGGACGGGACUAACGCCGAUAUGCUUCGGGGAGCUGUAAGUAAGCUUUGAUCCGAAGAUUUCCGAAUGGGGAAACCCACUAUACGUAAUGGUAUGGUAUCCUUAUCUGAAUACAUAGGGUAAGGAAGACAGACCCAGGGAACUGAAACAUCUAAGUACCUGGAGGAAGAGAAAGCAAAUGCGAUUUCCUGAGUAGCGGCGAGCGAAACGGAACAUAGCCCAAACCAAGAGGCUUGCCUCUUGGGGUUGUAGGACAUUCUAUACGGAGUUACAAAGGAACGAGGUAGACGAAGCGACCUGGAAAGGUCCGUCGUAGAGGGUAACAACCCCGUAGUCGAAACUUCGUUCUCUCUUGAAUGUAUCCUGAGUACGGCGGAACACGUGAAAUUCCGUCGGAAUCUGGGAGGACCAUCUCCCAAGGCUAAAUACUCCCUAGUGAUCGAUAGUGAACCAGUACCGUGAGGGAAAGGUGAAAAGCACCCCGGAAGGGGAGUGAAAGAGAUCCUGAAACCGUGUGCCUACAAAUAGUCAGAGCCCGUUAACGGGUGAUGGCGUGCCUUUUGUAGAAUGAACCGGCGAGUUACGAUCCCGUGCGAGGUUAAGCUGAAGAGGCGGAGCCGCAGCGAAAGCGAGUCUGAAUAGGGCGUUUAGUACGUGGUCGUAGACCCGAAACCAGGUGAUCUACCCAUGUCCAGGGUGAAGUUCAGGUAACACUGAAUGGAGGCCCGAACCCACGCACGUUGAAAAGUGCGGGGAUGAGGUGUGGGUAGCGGAGAAAUUCCAAUCGAACCUGGAGAUAGCUGGUUCUCCCCGAAAUAGCUUUAGGGCUAGCCUUAAGUGUAAGAGUCUUGGAGGUAGAGCACUGAUUGGACUAGGGGUCCUCAUCGGAUUACCGAAUUCAGUCAAACUCCGAAUGCCAAUGACUUAUCCUUAGGAGUCAGACUGCGAGUGAUAAGAUCCGUAGUCAAAAGGGAAACAGCCCAGACCGCCAGCUAAGGUCCCAAAGUGUGUAUUAAGUGGAAAAGGAUGUGGAGUUGCUUAGACAACUAGGAUGUUGGCUUAGAAGCAGCCACCAUUUAAAGAGUGCGUAAUAGCUCACUAGUCGAGUGACUCUGCGCCGAAAAUGUACCGGGGCUAAAUACACCACCGAAGCUGCGGAUUGAUACCAAUGGUAUCAGUGGUAGGGGAGCGUUCUAAGGACAGUGAAGUCAGACCGGAAGGACUGGUGGAGUGCUUAGAAGUGAGAAUGCCGGUAUGAGUAGCGAAAGACGGGUGAGAAUCCCGUCCACCGAAUGCCUAAGGUUUCCUGAGGAAGGCUCGUCCGCUCAGGGUUAGUCAGGACCUAAGCCGAGGCCGACAGGCGUAGGCGAUGGACAACAGGUUGAUAUUCCUGUACCACCUCUUUAUCGUUUGAGCAAUGGAGGGACGCAGAAGGAUAGAAGAAGCGUGCGAUUGGUUGUGCACGUCCAAGCAGUUAGGCUGAUAAGUAGGCAAAUCCGCUUAUCGUGAAGGCUGAGCUGUGAUGGGGAAGCUCCUUAUGGAGCGAAGUCUUUGAUUCCCCGCUGCCAAGAAAAGCUUCUAGCGAGAUAAAAGGUGCCUGUACCGCAAACCGACACAGGUAGGCGAGGAGAGAAUCCUAAGGUGUGCGAGAGAACUCUGGUUAAGGAACUCGGCAAAAUGACCCCGUAACUUCGGGAGAAGGGGUGCUUUCUUAACGGAAAGCCGCAGUGAAUAGGCCCAAGCGACUGUUUAGCAAAAACACAGCUCUCUGCGAAGCCGUAAGGCGAAGUAUAGGGGGUGACACCUGCCCGGUGCUGGAAGGUUAAGGAGAGGGGUUAGCGUAAGCGAAGCUCUGAACUGAAGCCCCAGUAAACGGCGGCCGUAACUAUAACGGUCCUAAGGUAGCGAAAUUCCUUGUCGGGUAAGUUCCGACCCGCACGAAAGGUGUAACGAUUUGGGCACUGUCUCAACCAGAGACUCGGUGAAAUUAUAGUACCUGUGAAGAUGCAGGUUACCCGCGACAGGACGGAAAGACCCCGUGGAGCUUUACUGUAGCCUGAUAUUGAAUUUUGGUACAGUUUGUACAGGAUAGGCGGGAGCCUUUGAAACCGGAGCGCUAGCUUCGGUGGAGGCGCUGGUGGGAUACCGCCCUGACUGUAUUGAAAUUCUAACCUACGGGUCUUAUCGACCCGGGAGACAGUGUCAGGUGGGCAGUUUGACUGGGGCGGUCGCCUCCUAAAGUGUAACGGAGGCGCCCAAAGGUUCCCUCAGAAUGGUUGGAAAUCAUUCGUAGAGUGCAAAGGCAUAAGGGAGCUUGACUGCGAGACCUACAAGUCGAGCAGGGACGAAAGUCGGGCUUAGUGAUCCGGUGGUUCCGCAUGGAAGGGCCAUCGCUCAACGGAUAAAAGCUACCCCGGGAUAACAGGCUUAUCUCCCCCAAGAGUCCACAUCGACGGGGAGGUUUGGCACCUCGAUGUCGGCUCAUCGCAUCCUGGGGCUGUAGUCGGUCCCAAGGGUUGGGCUGUUCGCCCAUUAAAGCGGUACGCGAGCUGGGUUCAGAACGUCGUGAGACAGUUCGGUCCCUAUCCGUCGUGGGCGUAGGAAAUUUGAGAGGAGCUGUCCUUAGUACGAGAGGACCGGGAUGGACGCACCGCUGGUGUACCAGUUGUUCUGCCAAGGGCAUAGCUGGGUAGCUAUGUGCGGAAGGGAUAAGUGCUGAAAGCAUCUAAGCAUGAAGCCCCCCUCAAGAUGAGAUUUCCCAUAGCGUAAGCUAGUAAGAUCCCUGAAAGAUGAUCAGGUUGAUAGGUUCGAGGUGGAAGCAUGGUGACAUGUGGAGCUGACGAAUACUAAUAGAUCGAGGACUUAACCAUAUAA
rnacentral:rRNA from 1 species